rnacentral:rRNA from 1 species
GACAGAGGUGCCGAGCGUUAGGCGGAAUCACUGGGCUUAAAGCGUGUGUAGGCGGGCCGUUAAGUACCUUGUGAAAUCCCCCGGCUCAACCGGGGAACGGCUGGGUAUACUGGCGGCCUUGAGCGGCCUAGGGGCAGAUGGAACAGACGGUGGAGCGGUGAAAUGCGCAGAUAUCAGGAGGAACACCGAUGGCGAAGGCAGGUCUCUGGGCAUUAACUGACGCUGAGGAGCGAAAGCAUGGGGAGCGAACAGG